GGGGGAACGGAUCUCGCAGAGAGGCAGCGGAUGGUUCAAUGUGUUCGUCACACGCUCGAGUCAGUCAGGGGAAGGUGGGACAUGCCAUGCCACUCUGGCUGAGUGAGAACAGUGAUGAAGCAGCAACAACAGACCAUUCUGCCCAUCAAGUCUGCUCCGCCUUUCAAUGAGACCGUGGCUAAUUUAAUAAACCUCAAAUCUAUUUUCCUUCA